rnacentral:lncRNA from 1 species
UCUUUGUCUGGAAUUGUACAUCUAUGCCUUGUCCUACGUGUGAGGUCCUGCCUGUUUUGUGUGUGCUCCAGUAUUUGGAAGAAUAAAGACUAUUGGAUGUUAUUCCUUCUCAUCUUCACCACACACACUAACGAGCUGUGGACAAUGGUAACAUGCCUGAGACGGGAAUCCCUUGGCUCGAUGUGCUGUGACUGAACGGAUAGAUUAGCCAUAGAAUAUCCAGGGAGCAUCCUGCCAAGAUGAAAGAAGCCCUCCUCUAGACACCCCACCAUCCACAACCCACAUUUCAUCUCUCGGCCUGUAAUCAUGAGCACACAGUCCUGGAGCAGACUUGGUGACAUAAUGAAUCUGCCACAUGACAAAGCCUUGCUGGAAUUAAAUAUUUUACUAAUUUAAAUUACUAAUUUAAUCAAAUCAACCUU